GACGUAGUACUUCCGGUUUGAAAGUUCAGCGGGAGCGGUAGUGAAAUACGUUGUGGCGUCGAAUUUCUGCUAGUUUAGUCAUUUUUCUUCCAAAAGACUUUUAUCGGCAAGUAACAAAGCUUGCGCGGAUUUCCGCAUGGUGGCCAAGUGGGAUUUGAAAUGGCGGCAUUUCCUAGUUGAAAUAAUUCGCCUUGACCUUAAUACUUUACACAGUUGAACUAAUAUUUAUUUAACAAGAGUCCGUGCAUAUUUUCCUUCAUGGCCUACAUGCAGAACACUUAUGCGUCACCUACAGUAUUUAUUCCAUGCACCACCUCUCUGGUACACGAGUCAACCCUUAAUUUAUACCCAGUCGACAUCAAGUAGUGUCUUCCCGCGAGGACAGAGAUCGUGGUGGUGUCAGGAAAUCGACAAAUCGUAGAUAGAAUAAAGCAAUGGAGAAAGGAAGAGAAGGAAGGUCGAAAGGAGGAUAAAACGAGUCGCGUCAUUGCUGGCCAGGGCUUAAGUGAUCGAUGGCGUCGGCCGUUAUCUUCGCCACCCCCGCCUGGCUGCCGUGGUAAUUCAUCAUCUCGGUCUGUUUUUCACUUACUUUAUAUGCAACAUAUUCCGUAAUUUUUAUUCAGUCAACCGGCCGCCCCGAGUAGCAACCCCUAACCGUGGGCCAGCUCGUAAAACAACGAGCUGCCUCCUCGGUCCAACGGACCAUCCACCGACAACCAAAAAGAGCAAGGGUGCUACGGGGUGGCUGAAAGACGACGUAGGACGUAAGAAAGGGCGCCGCGGUGCCCUCGCGUUUUCUUUUCCUCUCGAGCGGUGUACUGGUCGCAAAGUCCGAGGGGUUACGCAAGCCGCACUCUAUAUGCUAAAGAAUCUCGAUAUGGAGAUGCGCGGCUCGACUCAUCCCCGACCGGUCAGUUUGAUUUAUUGGCUCGAAAUCGGCCACGCUAAAUUUCGGGGAAAAUAUGCUGUCCCAGGCGGCGCUAUCCCCGCUACCGAACCUCCCACGUUUUCCAACGUCAUUUCCAUAAAAUGAAUUAUUAGACCGACGGAUACGUCAGUGGAUGCGCUGGAUGGCGUAAAUCGGAAUCCCGUCCUUCGUCUUCUACGCGGAAAAACAAGCUGUUGGGAAAUUUGCUACUCGAGUGAGAUUAUCGGCCGUUCUUAUCGACGGACAUUCGUUUCGGUAUUUUUCUGGCGACAAACGUUACCCUUGUGUCCGCGUGACGGUUACAGUCACGGUCGUUCCACGCUCGUGUCACCCUUACCGGUGUCGGGCUGUGAAAGCAUCUGACGCAGACGGUGCCAUCGGGCUUUCGGCUUCAGGCUUCGGCCUCCGGGCCCUGCCACUUUUUAGAUCGUAUCGCGGAGGUCACGGUGCUUAUGUACCGGUCGCUAACAUAUUUUUAAGUACCGGCGAUACCGUCUACCAGUGCGGUGCUGCCGGACACGGACACGGACACGGCCACCAAAGGAAACGAUAUCGUAGUGGACACCGGCGAGUCUCUUCGUACACAGAGCCUGCAGACGCUACACGCUCGCCGACGAGAUGGCACCUGUCGCGCAAGGUGUUCCUAAACUCUUUUCUACGUAAAACUUCGUCAACGAUCCUCGAAACUGCCUCUUAAUCAUCGCACUACCUGCCUCGACGGCUAACUGCACCGUUCUACUUAAUAACAGGCCGAGCAUGAAACGGUUGAAAAUAUUCGCACAAAGUGCUAAUGAGAUUAAUCCGCAAUUUUAUGUUGAAAAUAAAAUAAUAGCCAGUGGUCGGAGAGAUAUCGUCGGGACCAUACGAAGAUACUUUAUUUCAUUGACUGUUUGGUACUCGAACGAUCGUAAAAUUGCCUGGCUAUAAAGAAGGACCGUAAAAUCGAGAUGCUACCCGCAAGCUAAUGUACUGGAACGACGCGGCGAGAGUCCUUAAAGGGACAAACGUGUCAACCGGGAUUCUCUCACGGUUCGAACUCGAGAAUCGAUAAGGAUGCGAUUGAAAGCGUAAACUUGCACUGACGUCACGUGUGUAAAGAGAUCGUGUAAUAAUUGAAACGGAAUCGGUUGAAAGGAAUCAGCUGUUGGGUGGCCGGUGAGAGAAAGAAAGGUUGGCGGUUCCGCGAGCGAGCGAACGCAGGUGAAACGGUUGCGACGGUGAGCAGGUGGACCAACGAUGUUCGGCGUGUGCCACGGGCACACGAGGAACGCCGAUGACCUCGAGACCACGGCAAUCGGAGAGAUCCCUGAGCGAAGCGGAGAGCCGGUUGCAGCUGCGCUUUGUCGCUUCGAAGACGCGCAAACGAACGGAUAGGCGCGUAGAACAAGCAGGGGUGUACUCGUAACGCCUGCGACCAGUGAUUAACGGUCGAACCGUAUGCUGGUUGCGACGUGGGAAUCAAUUACAACGCUACCGACGUCAACGCUAGUUUCUGAUAUUCCGACGAAUUGCACUCUGUCCUCGCCAUGUUGACGCUCUAAUCGUGAGUACCGACACGAAGGUUUCUAUGAUAGAGGGAAGAAUCAGUCAAUUUAUAUUUGCCACCGUUUCGGAUAUUAUACAAACACAUUCGACACACGAUGGACGACUAAAAAUAAAAACUCGUAUCGAACAAGCGAUUCGAGCUCGAAGAGUAAAGGAAGGAUUAGCUUGCAAGGAUUCUCAGGAUAAAGGAUCGCGAGGAGGAUAGUUUCCCAGAUUCCUACGUUAUCGCUGGGGUAAGAUAGAGCUUUCGUCUGGAAGGGUAGCUGGGUGAGAAUCGGGGAUGCGAACCCGUUAAGGGCAAGUAGAUCCCUGCAGG